UUCUUCUUCUUCUUCUUCUCCUUUACGAGCUACAAAACUAAUUAAAAAAAAAGAGAAAUCGAACGAUAGUGAUCUUCGAACCCCCUCGGCCCCUCUCUCUCUCUCUCUCUCUCUCUCUCUCUCUCUCCUCUAUUCAAACCCUAAUCCUCGUCGGGGUAUCUCUCUCUCUCUCUCUCUCUCUCUCUCUCUCUCUCUCUCUC
rnacentral:lncRNA from 1 species